rnacentral:rRNA from 1 species
AUACGGAGGGUCCGAGCGUUAUCCGGAAUCAUUGGGUUUAAAGGGUCCGUAGGCGGGAAUCUAAGUCAGUGGUGAAAUCUUGCAGCUCAACUGUAAAAUUGCCAUUGAUACUGGAUUUCUUGAAUUAUCGUGAAGUGAUUAGAAUGUGUAGUGUAGCGGUGAAAUGCAUAGAUAUUACACAGAAUACCAAUUGCGAAGGCAGAUCACUAACACUAUAUUGACGCUGAGGGACGAAAGCGUGGGGAGCGAACAGGAUUAGAUACCCUAGUAGUCC